rnacentral:rRNA from 1 species
GGGGAAUUUUGGACAAUGGGCGAAAGCCUGAUCCAGCCAUGCCGCGUGUAUGAAGAAGGCCUUCGGGUUGUAAAGUACUUUUGUUAGGGAAGAAAAGCUUAUUGCUAAUAUCAGUGAGCCAUGACGGUACCUAAAGAAUAAGCACCGGCUAACUACGUGCCAGCAGCCGCGGUAAUACGUAGGGUGCAAGCGUUAAUCGGAAUUACUGGGCGUAAAGCGAGCGCAGGCGGUUAUUUAAGUCAGGUGUGAAAGCCCCGAGCUCAACUUGGGACGUGCAUUUGAAACUGGGUAACUAGAGUGUGUCAGAGGGGGGUAGAAUUCCACGUGUAGCAGUGAAAUGCGUAGAGAUGUGGAGGAAUACCGAUGGCGAAGGCAGCCCCCUGGGAUAACACUGACGCUCAUGCUCGAAAGCGUGGGUAGCAAAC